rnacentral:rRNA from 1 species
GUGGGGAAUCUUCCGCAAUGGACGAAAGUCUGACGGAGCAACGCCGCGUGAGUGAUGAAGGUCUUCGGAUUGUAAAGCUCUGUUAAUCGGGACGAAAGAGCCUAGUGUGAAUAAUGCUAGGAAGUGACGGUACCGGAAUAGAAAGCCACGGCUAACUACGUGCCAGCAGCCGCGGUAAUACGUAGGUGGCAAGCGUUGUCCGGAAUUAUUGGGCGUAAAGCGCGCGCAGGCGGAUCUGCCAGUCUGUCUUAGAAGUUCGGGGCUUAACCCCGUGAUGGGAUGGAAACUACAGAUCUAGAGUAUCGGAGAGGAAAGUGGAAUUCCUAGUGUAGCGGUGAAAUGCGUAGAUAUUAGGAAGAACACCAGUGGCGAAGGCGACUUUCUGGACGAAAACUGACGCUGAGGCGCGAAAGCCAGGGGAGCGAACGGGAUUAGAAACCCCUGUAGUCC